CUGUGAAUGAGGGACAAGAACAGUUGGGAUGUCAUGAGUGAAGGCAUGCAGCAGAGAUGGGUUGUGGGAUCCCAGAGCUGAGAUGUCUGUAUGAAGAUGAACACAUUAAAAUGAAGAGUUGCACAAGCUGUAGCUGA
rnacentral:lncRNA from 1 species